rnacentral:misc_RNA from 1 species
AUACUCUCAAGCUUGACCUUUUUUCAUUAAGGAGGUCAUAGUUUGGAUUUGGAUGUUGCUGCGGUUGAACUAUCGCAGCUCGUCUCGAAAUGUAUUAGCUGGUCCACCGCGGUCUAUUAUAAAACUCUAUGGUGUGAUAAGAACACAAAUUCUUUGUAGCGCUAUGGUGAAUAGACUUGCUGGGAUGUGACUGCUUCUAAUAGUCCAUUGACUUGGACAAUAUCACUUUGUU